AUUGAACGCUGGCGGCAUGCCUAACACAUGCAAGUCGAACGGGGGUAGCAAUACCCUAGUGGCGGACGGGUGAGGAAUACGUAGGAAUUUGCCCUUAAGUGGGGGAUAACCCGGGGAAACCCGGACUAAUACCGCAUGAUCUCGUGAGAGCAAAGCAGGGGACCGCAAGGCCUUGCGCUUUUGGAGAAGCCUACGUCGGAUUAGCUAGUUGGUGGGGUAAUGGCCCACCAAGGCUACGAUCCGUAACUGGUCUGAGAGGAUGAUCAGUCACACCGGAACUGAGACACGGGCCGGACUCCUACGGGAGGCAGCAGUGGGGAAUAUUGGACAAUGGGCGAAAGCCUGAUCCAGCAAUGCCGCGUGUGUGAAGAAGGCCUUCGGGUUGUAAAGCACUUUAGGCUGGAAAGAAAAAGCUUUGGCUAAUAUCCAAAGCCUUGACGGUACCAGCAGAAUAAGCACCGGCUAACUCUGUGCCAGCCGCCGCAGUAAGAC
rnacentral:rRNA from 1 species